CACGGCGCACGGGUGCGUAACACGUGGGCAAUCUGCCCUCCGGUGGGGAAUAACCCCGCGAAAGCGGGGCUAAUUCCGCAUAACAUUCCCUGGACUCUGGUUCGGGGACUCAAAGCAGCAAUGCGCCGGAGGAGGAGCCCGCGCCCGAUUAGCUAGUUGGUGAGGUAACGGCUCACCAAGGCAAUGAUCGGUAGCUGGUCUGAGAGGAUGACCAGCCACACUGGAACUGAGACACGGUCCAGACUCCUACGGGAGGCAGCAGUGGGGAAUCUUGCGCAAUGGGCGAAAGCCUGACGCAGCGACGCCGCGUGGGGGAUGAAGCUUCUCGGAGUGUAAACCCCUUUCGACCGGGACGAAUGCCCGCAAGGGAGUGACGGUACCGGUAGAAGAAGCCCCGGCUAACUACGUGCCAGCAGCCGCGGUAAGACGUAGGGGGCCAGCGUUGUUCGGAAUUACUGGGUGUAAAGGGUUCGUAGGCGGUGUGGCAAGUCGGGAGUGAAAUCUCUGGGCUUAACUCAGAGGCUGCUUCCGAAACUGCUGUGCUAGAGUGCGGGAGAGGCGUGUGGAAUUGCAGGUGUAGCGGUGAAAUGCGUAGAUAUCUGCAGGAACACCCGUGGCGAAAGCGGCGCGCUGGACCGUUACUGACGCUGAGGAACGAAAGCUAGGGGAGCAAACAGGAUUAGAUACCCUGGUAGUCCUAGCCCUAAACGAUCAGGACUUGGGGUGCCUUCCGUUCGGAAGUCGUCCCGGAGCUAACGCGUUAAGUCCUGCACCUGGGGAGUACGGUCGCAAGACUGAAACUCAAAGGAAUUGACGGGGGCCCGCACAAGCGGUGGAACAUGUGGUUCAAUUCGA
rnacentral:rRNA from 1 species